rnacentral:rRNA from 1 species
GAUGAACGCUGGCGGCGUGCUUAACACAUGCAAGUCGAGCGAGUGAGUUCUUCGGAACGAUCUAGCGGCGGACGGGUGAGUAACACGUGGGCAACAUGCCUCAUAGAGGGGAAUAGCCUCCCGAAAGGGAGAUUAAUACCGCAUAAAAUUAUCGAGUGGCAUCACACGGUAAUAAAAGGAGUAAUCCGCGAUGAGAUGGGCCCGCUGCGCAUUAGCUAGUUGGUGAUGUAACGGCUCACCAAGGCGACGAUGCGUAGCCGACCUGAGAGGGUGAUCGGCCACAUUAGGACUGAGACACGGCCCAGACUCCUACGGGAGGCAGCAAUGGGGAAUAUUGCACAAUGGGGGAAACCCUGAUGCAGCAACUCCGCGUGAGUGAUGAAGGUCUUCGGAUUGUAAAGCUCUGUCUUUGGGGACGAUAAUGACGGUACCCAAGGAGGAAGCCACGGCUAACUACGUGCCAGCCGUCGCCGUAA